AUGCGUUACCUCUACUUCCGCCCCAACGCGACAAGCCAGGCGCGCGCCUACCGCGACCAUCUCCUCGCCCACCUAGACCAAUGCGCAUCGCGGGCCCACCUGUCGGAGCUCCACGGACGGCUCAUCCGCGCCCACCUCGGCCCCGACCCCUCCGGUCGGCUCGUCGCCCUCCUCGCCUCCCCUGUGGCGAGGCAUGACAUGCCCUAUGCGCGCAGGGUGUUCGACAGAAUGGCCCAACCGACCGCCUUCGUCUGGAACUGCAUGAUUCGAGGGUACAACAGUUGCGACGCCCCUGCAGAUGCAUUGGCGUUGUUCAGGGCGAUGCUUCGGAGGAGAAUCUCUCCUGAUAAUUACACCAUGGCUGCGGUUGUGUCCUCGAGCGCUGCUUUCGCCAGCUGGAAGUCGAGGUCAACUGGGGACGCGGUACAUUCCUUUGUUCGCAAGACUGGCUUUGCAUCGGAUGUGUUCGUCAUGUCAGGCCUUGUUAAUUUCUAUGGCUCCUUCAGAAGUGUCGAUGAUGCAAGGAAGGUUUUUGAAGAUAUGGCCAAUCAGGAUGUGGUGUCGUGGACUCUGAUGAUCUCGGCUUUUGCACAGUGCAGUCAGUGGGAUGAUGCGUUAAGGUUGCUUGCUGAGAUGCAAUCACAAGGCACUAAGCCUAACAAGGUCACCGUUAUAAGUCUCCUUUCUGCAUGCGGCCAAGUGCAGGAUGUUGACAGAGGCCGGUGGGUGUAUGCACGCAUUGAUGAGUACGGCAUUGAGGUUGAUUUGGAUGUCAGGAAUGCACUUUUAAGCAUGUACAUGAAAUGCGGAUGCAUGUCGGAUGCGUUGAAAACAUUUCAGGUCAUGCCAAUAAGAAAUACUAAAUCAUGGAACACGUUGAUUGAUGGGUUUGUGCAAAAUGGGAAGCAUAAGGAAGCACUAAGAAUGUUUGAAGAGAUGUUAUCAGAUGGUAUAGUUCCUGAUGUGAUUACCCUCGUAAGUCUCUUAUCGUCAUGUGCUCAGCUUGGUGAUCUUCAGAAAGGGAGAUACUUCCACAAUUAUAUCAAAGAUCAUGGGAUCCGCUGUGACAUCAUCCUUCAUAAUUCUUUGAUUAACAUGUAUGCUAAAUGUGGCGAUAUGGCUGCAGCAGAAAUUGUUUUUGAAAAUAUGACACAAAGGGAUACCGUGUCCUGGACAGCUAUGGUUUGUGGUUAUGUGAAAGGACUUCAGUUUACAACGGCCUUCAGUUUAUUUGAAGAGAUGAAGGUUGUAGAUCUUGUGUCAAGUGAAAUGGCACUGGUUAGUCUACUUUCUGCUUGUUCCCAGCUAGGAGCACUUGAUAAAGGGAGAGAGAUACACACUUAUAUAGAAGAGAAGAGUGUAACAACAGACGUAUGGCUUGAAAGUGCCCUGGUGGAUAUGUAUGCAAAAUGUGGUUGCACUGAUACAGCUUCUCAAAUAUUCAGUACAAUGCAGCACAAGCGAACCCUCACAUGGAAUGCUAUGAUUGGAGGUCUUGCCAGCAAUGGACAGGGAAAAGAAGCAGUGGAGCACUUUGAACAAAUGCUGAAGCUAAGAGACCCAAAGCCUGAUGCUAUCACUCUAAAGGUGGUUCUUGGUGCCUGUGCACAUGUAGGAAUGGUUGAUGAGGGGCUGCAUUACUUCUAUUUGAUGUUGAGCCUUGGUAUUGUCCCUGAUAUUGAGCACUAUGGUUGCGUAGUAGACCUCCUGAGUAGAGCUGGGCUGCUAGACGAAGCAUAUAGUUUUAUCAAGAAGAUGCCAAUACAGCCCAAUCCAGUAAUUUGGGGAUCACUUCUUGCAGCUUGUAGAGUUCAUCACAAAAUGGAACUAGCAAAGAGAAUUGGACAGCACAUCAUCGAAUUAGCUCCUAAUGACGUGGGAGCACAUGUCCUAAUUUCGAACUUACAUGCUGAAGAAGGUCAGUGGGAUGAUGUAGAGCAAGUAAGAGGGCUGAUGGAAAGCAGAGGUGUAGAGAAAUCAUCUGGUCGUAGCUCCAUCCAAGUCUAG
rnacentral:rRNA from 1 species